AUUUCUUCUUUGUUAAUCUGCUCUGAAUUUUGCUUUUCCAAGCCAAACGACACAGGGCUGUACUGGGACUGACAAUGGCCAGGAAGGCAUGAUGAUGAUUUUUUCAGAACUGUAUCAGGAAUCCAGGAAGCCAAAGUGUUCUUAAAUGGUAGACAAAGACAUAUGGAGAAUUAUGGGAACAAGACUCACUGCCUCCAUCUACUUUUUAGGCUGUUUACUUUUCUCUGAGAACUUUGAACUAUUUGCUUCAGUUAUGUUGAAACUGUGAUUAUC